rnacentral:rRNA from 1 species
GAUGAACGCUAGCGGCAGGCCUAACACAUGCAAGUCGAGGGGUAGGGCAGCAAUGCCUGAGACCGGCGCACGGGUGCGUAACGCGUAUGCAAGCUACCUUCAACAGGGGGAUAGCCCAGAGAAAUUUGGAUUAAUACCCCAUAGUAUUAUCGAAUGGCACCAUUUGAUUAUUAAAGUUCCAACGGUUGAAGAUGAGCAUGCGUCCUAUUAGCUUGAUGGUAAGGUAACGGCUUACCAUGGCUACGAUAGGUAGGGGUCCUGAGAGGGAGAUCCCCCACACUGGUACUGAGACACGGACCAGACUCCUACGGGAGGCAGCAGUGAGGAAUAUUGGACAAUGGGCGCAAGCCUGAUCCAGCCAUGCCGCGUGCAGGAAGACGGUCCUAUGGAUUGUAAACUGCUUUUGUACGGGAAGAAACACUCCUACGUGUAGGAGCUUGACGGUACCGUAAAAAUAAGGAUCGGCUAACUCCGUGCCAGCCGCCGCGGUAACAC